CAACUUUUAGCAACGGAUCUCUUGGCUCUCGCAUCGAUGAAGAACGCAGCGAAAUGCGAUAAGUAAUGUGAAUUGCAGAAUUCAGUGAAUCAUCGAAUCUUUGAACGCAUCUUGCGCUCCUUGGUAUUCUGAGGAGCAUGCCUGUUUGAGUGUCAUAA
rnacentral:rRNA from 1 species